UACGUAGGGUGCAAGCGUUGUCCGGAAUUAUUGGGCGUAAAGAGCGUGUAGGCGGCCCGAUUAGUCCGCUGUGAAAGUCCAGGGCUCAACCCUGGAAUGCCGGUGGAUACUGUCGGGCUAGAGUCCGGAAGGGGCGAGUGGAAUUCCUGGUGUAGCGGUGAAAUGCGCAGAUAUCAGGAGGAACACCAAUGGCGAAGGCAGCUCGCUGGGACGUGACUGACGCUGAGACGCGAAAGCGUGGGGAG
rnacentral:rRNA from 1 species